rnacentral:lncRNA from 1 species
GUUUAAAACAGUUUGCUUUAAAAACACACAUGAUUAGGCAACUACAUCGGCGUAGCGCGUGCUUGUGAUGUCAUUUCGUCAUCAGCAGCGGACAUCUUGGGAUUUGUCGCGACAUUUAGCGCUCUUCAAUUUUCGCGCUCAACUCCUGCACGCUAGAAGUUGGCAACACUGCGGUUACUAGAGAAGAGGACAUCAAAAGAGUGAGAGUGAGGUAUGUCCAAACAGUGAGGUGCAUGCUGUUCUGUCAAAGUAUCAAGAGGGAAAUUCUCUGGUCCUGUGCAUCCUGCAACUCUUAAUGGCCCAUUUUAAAGAGAGAACAGAAUCCCUUCUAAUUGAAGCUGAUGUAAGUAAUAUCAUUUUGAUUUUUAAUGUCUUAAGUUUAACUGGUAAUGCAAAAUAUUAUUAUCUAUUUUUUUUAGGUAGCAGCAACUGCAACCGACAUGGAAAGAAAUGGAUUACCGGAUUCACACGCACUGAUCUUUCAAGGUGAAUCCAUGACCCCAAGCAAGUGGAUGUUGUCAGUCGAAAGGGAAGUUGUCAUUGGCCCAUGUUCAGAGGCAUUUGUUGAGGGCCUGGCAGCAUAGUUUGCAACCUAUUACAACUUAAACCUUGCUUAUCAGGAUGAAGCUGCAUGCACCCUCGAAAUUAUUCAGAGGUAUGUCAGAACAUAAACUCUU